ACAACAUUCGGAUCGUCAGUCUACCGAGCAAUUACACCCGCUCGGCGGAAGAUUUUCCUUCCGACAU
rnacentral:pre_miRNA from 1 species